rnacentral:rRNA from 1 species
GUAGGUGGCAAGCGUUGUCCGGAAUUAUUGGGCGUAAAGCGCGCGCAGGCGGUUCUUUAAGUCUGAUGUGAAAGCCCACGGCUCAACCGUGGAGGGUCAUUGGAAACUGGAGAACUUGAGUACAGAAGAGGAAAGCGGAAUUCCACGUGUAGCGGUGAGAUGCGUAGAGAUGUGGAGGAACACCAGUGGCGAAGGCGGCUUUCUGGUCUGUAACUGACGCUGAGGCGCGAAAGCGUGGGGAGCAAACAGGAUUAGAUACCCUGGUAGUCCACGCCGUAAACGAUGAGUGCUAAGUGUUAGGGGGUUUCCGCCCCCCUUAGUGCUGCAGCUAACGCAUUAAGCACUCCGCCUGGGAGUACGGCCGCAAGGCUG